rnacentral:rRNA from 1 species
AUUUCCGUUUAUCCUGCGGACGAUCGCUGCUAUUAGGAUCCGAUUUAGCCAUGCAAGUUUUCCGCAAGGAAGCGAACUGCUCAGUAACAUAUCGAUAAUCUGCCUUCAGGUCUGGGACACCCUCGCGAAAGUGAGGCUAAACCCGGAUAUUGGAUUGGUGGUGGAAUCCUCUUUCCAUGAAAAGCAAUGCCUGAAGAUGAGUCGAUAGCCGAUUAGGUUGUUGGCGGGGUAACGGCCCACCAAGCCAGAGAUCGGUAGGGGCGUUGAGAGACGUAGCCCCGAGAAGGGCACUGAGACACUGGCCCUAGCCCUACGGGGUGCAGCAGUCGCGAAACCUUUACACUACGCGCAAGCGUGAUAAGGGGAUCCUAAGUGCUCAUGCACUGCAUGGGCUUUUGCCAAGGGUAAAAACCUUGGCGAAUAAGUGGUGGACAAGACUGGUGCCAGCCGCCGCGGUAACCCCAGCGCCACUAGUGGGGAUCGUAUUUAUUUGGCCUAAAGCGCCCGUAGCCGGGCCGUUUAAUCUCUUGUGAAAUCGUCAGGCUUAACUUGACGGCGUGCAGGAGACACUGACGGCCUAGGGACUGGGAGGCGUCAGAUGUAUGCAAGGGGGAGCAGUAAAAUAUACUCACUAACAUUCGUAAGUUACCUUCGCUACGCUCGGUAACCAUACUCGCUAGCGUAGGUAAACGUAAAACGUUGGUGAUGUUUACAGUGCUAUAAUCCCUUGUAGACAACCUGUGGCGAAGGCGUCUGACGAGAACAGGUCCGACGGUCAGGGGCGAAAGCUAGGGGAGCAAUCCGGAUUAGAUACCCGAGUAGUCCUAGCCGUAAACACUGCGAGCAAGGUGUUGCAUAUUCUUCGUGGAUAUGCAGUGUCGAAGAGAAGUCGUUAAGCUCGCCGCCUGGGGAGUACGGUCGCAAGACUGAAACUUAAAGGAAUUGGCGGGGGAGUACUACAAGGGGUGCGGCGUGCGGUUUAAUUUAAUUCAACGCAG